UACGGGGGGAGCAAGCGUUGUUCGGAUUUACUGGGCGUAAAGGGCGCGUAGGCGGUCGUGACAAGUCACUUGUGAAAUCUCCGGGCUUAACUCGGAACGGUCAAGUGAUACUGUCGGACUAGAGUACAGAAGGGGCAACUGGAAUUCUCGGUGUAGCGGUGAAAUGCGUAGAUAUCGGGAGGAACACCAAUGGCGAAGGCAGCUCGCUGGGACGUUACUGACGCUGAGACGCGAAAGCGUGGGGAGCAAACAGG
rnacentral:rRNA from 1 species